rnacentral:rRNA from 1 species
UGCAUAUGAAUCUGCCCGAUAGUGGGGGAUAACCUGGGGAAACUCAGGCUAAUACCGCAUACGUCCUACGGGAGAAAGCAGGGGAUCUUCGGACCUUGCGCUAUCGGAUGAGCCUAUGUCGGAUUAGCUAGUUGGUGAGGUAACGGCUCACCAAGGGGGACGAUCCGGUAAGUUGGUUUUGAGGAGGAUGAUUCAGCCCCCACUGGGAAUUGAGACCCGGGCCCAGACUUCUUACGGGAGGCAGCAGUGGGGAAUUUUUGGACAAUGGGGGAAACCCUGAUCCAAGCCAUGCCGCGUUUGUGAAGAAGGCCUUCGGGUUUGUAAAGCACUUUAAGCGAGGAAGAAGGGCUUGGGGGCUAAUACCCCUCAGGAAGGACAUCACUCGCAGAAGAAGCACCGGCUAACUCCGUGCCAGCAGCCGCGGUAAUACGGAGGGUGCGAGCGUUAAUCGGAAUUACUGGGCGUAAAGCGCGCGUAGGUGGCUUGAUAAGCCGGUUGUGAAAGCCCCGGGCUCAACCUGGGAACGGCAUCCGGAACUGUCAGGCUAGAGUGCAGGAGAGGAAGGUAGAAUUCCCGGUGUAGCGGUGAAAUGCGUAGAGAUCGGGAGGAAUACCAGUGGCGAAGGCGGCCUUCUGGACUGACACUGACACUGAGGUGCGAAAGCGUGGGUAGCAAACAGGAUUAGAUACCCUGGUAGUCCACGCCGUAAACGAUGUCGACUAGCCGUUGGGGUCCUUGAGACCUUUGUGGCGCAGUUAACGCGAUAAGUCGACCGCCUGGGGAGUACGGCCGCAAGGUUAAAACUCAAAUGAAUUGACGGGGGCCCGCACAAGCGGUGGAGCAUGUGGUUUAAUUCGAUGCAACGCGAAGAACCUUACCUACCCUUGACAUCGUGCGAACUUUCCAGAGAUGGAUUGGUGCCUUCGGGAACGCACAGACAGGUGCUGCAUGGCUGUCGUCAGCUCGUGUUGUGAAAUGUUGGGUUAAGUCCCGUAACGAGCGCAACCCUUGUCCCUAUUUGCCAGCGAUUCGGUCGGGAACUCUAGGGAGACUGCCGGUGACAAACCGGAGGAAGGUGGGGACGACGUCAAGUCAUCAUGGCCCUUACGGGUAGGGCUACACACGUGCUACAAUGGUCGGUACAAAGGGUUGCAAUGCCGCGAGGUGGAGCUAAUCCCAUAAAGCCGGUCUCAGUCCGGAUCGGAGUCUGCAACUCGACUCCGUGAAGUCGGAAUCGCUAGUAAUCGUGAAUCAGA